rnacentral:rRNA from 1 species
AGUGAACGCUGGCGGUAGGCCUAACACAUGCAAGUCGAACGGCGGCACAGUAGGAGCUUGCUCUUACGGGUGGCGAGUGGCGGACGGGUGAGGAAUACAUCGGAAUCUACUUUUUCGUGGGGGAUAACGUAGGGAAACUUACGCUAAUACCGCAUACGACCUACGGGUGAAAGCAGGGGAUCUUCGGACCUUGCGCGAUUGAAUGAGCCGAUGUCGGAUUAGCUAGUUGGCGGGGUAAAGGCCCACCAAGGCGACGAUCCGUAGCUGGUCUGAGAGGAUGAUCAGCCACACUGGAACUGAGACACGGUCCAGACUCCUACGGGAGGCAGCAGUGGGGAAUAUUGGACAAUGGGCGCAAGCCUGAUCCAGCCAUACCGCGUGGGUGAAGAAGGCCUUCGGGUUGUAAAGCCCUUUUGUUGGGAAAGAAAAGCAGCAGGUUAAUACCCCGCUGUUCUGACGGUACCCAAAGAAUAAGCACCGGCUAACUUCGUG